rnacentral:lncRNA from 1 species
UCGCCAAAACAAAUGGGGGAGAAUGUCAAGGACCGUAGCUUUACUUAGCCCCUUGACACUAUCGCAACCGCAGUUUGCCCAACUUCAGCCGCACAUUGUAAAUAUUACUUCAAGUUUGAAUUGUAAUUUUCUUUUCAUUGUAAUAGUUAUUUCAAUUGUAAAAUAGCUCUGAUAUUGGUAAAAGUUUAGUAUGAUUCCUCAUCUUUUAAACGUCUACUCCCGUCACUUGGGUUUUUGUUCAGAAUGCUAUUAUAGGGGGUAUUAGUCAUUCAAAAAUCUUUGAAGCUCACUAGUGUCCGCCCCCUGCACCAGCAAUUGUAAUUUUCUGCUUUCAUCAAUUGUAAUGUUCAGUUUUCAUCAAUCAAUGUUUAAUUUACUUUCAAUGUAUUCAAAUUCUCUAUUGUAAGCUUUCUACAAAAUUGUAAUCAAAUUUUCUUUCGUC